rnacentral:rRNA from 1 species
GACGAACGCUGGCGGCGUGGAUUAGGCAUGCAAGUCGAACGGUAUCAUCCUUUCGGGGGUGAGAGAGUGGCGAACUGGUGAGUAACACGUAGGUUAUCUACCCUCAAGACGGGGACAACCCAGGGAAACUUGGGCUAAUACCGGAUGUGAGCAACUUUUAGUUGUUUGAAAGGUGGCGUAAGCUGUCGCUUGGGGAUGAGCCUGCGUCCUAUUAGUUAGUUGGUGAGGUAACGGCUCACCUAGGCAAUGAUAGGUAGGCGGCCUUAACGGGUGGUCGCCCACACUGGGAUUGAGAUACGGCCCAGACUCCUACGGGAGGCAGCAGUCGAGAAUAGUCUACAAUGGUCGGAAGACUGAUAGUGCGACGCCGCGUGAACGAUGAAUCCCUUCGGGGUGUAAAGUUCUUUUAUAUGUGAGCAGUGCUUCUUAUAUUAACAGUAUGGGGAAGAGAUAUUAGCAUAUGAAUAGCAACGGCUAACUCCGUGUCAGCAGCCGCGGUAACUCGU